UACGUAGGUGACAAGCGUUGUCCGGAUUUACUGGGCGUAAAGAGCGCGCAGGCGGUCGUUCAAGUCGAGUGUGAAAGCCCCCCGGCUCAACUGGGGAGGGUCACUCGAUACUGAUCGACUCGAAGGCAGGAGAGGGAAGUGGAAUUCCCGGUGUAGUGGUGAAAUGCGUAGAUAUCGGGAGGAACACCAGUGGCGAAGGCGACUUCCUGGCCUGUUCUUGACGCUGAGGCGCGAAAGCUAGGGGAGCAAACGGGG
rnacentral:rRNA from 1 species